CUCUUCACAGGUAUACACAUCCCUGACAUAUAACGCCACUCCUCCUCCUUUCUUGUCUGGUCUGUUUCUCUGAAAUAGAUUGUAUCCCUCCAUUAUUACAUUCCAAUCGUGGGACUUAUCCCACCAGGUUUCAGUGAUGCCUAUUAUGUCAUAUUUAGUUUGCUGUACCAAGAGCUCAAGCUCAUCUUGUUUAUUUCCCAUGCUUUGCGCAUUAGUGUACAGACAUUGAAGUCCAUUAAUCAUUCCUCCGUGUCUCUUAUUUAAGGAUUUUUUCCUCUCACCACUAGGUCUGCGUGCUGUUUGCCCCAUUUGGUCUAUGACAUUUGGAUGAUCAUCUUCAUCACUUGAUAGACUCCUACCUUCAGGAGCACUGUCUCCCUCCCCCACAUUAGUCAGUUUAAAGCCCUCCUGAUGAGGUUUCUGAGAUUUUGGCAAAAACAUUCCUCCCAACCGUUGUGAGGUGCAGCCCAUCGCUUGCCAGAAGUCCAUCUUCAAGAAACUGCAUUCCAUGAUCUAAGAAUCCAAACCGUUCCUGUUUACACCAUUUGCGAAGCCAGUUGUUCACUUCCUCUAUUUUUCCCUCUCUCCCUGGGCCACGUCGUUCAACUGAGAGGACAGAUGAGAUGACAAUUUGUGCAUUUAAUUGCUUCAAUUUCCUGCCCAGAGCCUCGUAAUCUCUUUUGAUCUUCUGGAGGCUAUUGCUUGCAGUGUCAUUGGUUCCCACAUGAACCAAGAGGAAGGGGUAUUUGUCAGUGGGUUUUAUGAUUCCUUGCAGUCGUUCAAUCACAUCUUGGAUCUUAGCCCCGGGGAGACAGCACACUUCCCGAGACAUCUUGUCAGGCCCACAGAUCACUGCUUCUGUUCCCCUCAGUAGGGAAUCCCCUAUCACCACUACACGCCUCCUCUUAGGUCUGGUCGGAGUUCUUCCGUGAGCUGUCCGUUCCAAGGUCGCCUGCACAUUCCCUGAGGGCUGACUUUGCUGCUCGUCUUCAUAUACCUGAUCGACUGUAAUGAGGGAGAGAUCCUCAAAUGGAGUCUGUUCUUCGUCUUCCAUGCUGGGGGAGAGGACCUCAAAGCGAUUGUGUAUUUCUAAACAAUCAGCGCGAACCCUGGGCCUCCUACUUCUUUGAGUCACAUUUCUCCAUAUAUCUGGCUCCUGUGUUGGUGAACUACCCUCCUUCUCAGGGGAGUCCCCUGUCUCCUCCUUGGUGGAGACGGUGUGCUCUGUUGCUUUCAAGAAGAGCUCCAGCUCUCUAAUUCUUUGGAGCGUAGCUACACGUUCCUCCAGUUGCUGGACUUUGUCUUUUAAGAGGGCAAUCAACAUGCAAUUGCUGCAGGUAAAGCUGCCUGCAACCUUUGGCAAGAUGGCAAACAUUGCGCAGGAACCGCAGGCGACUGCAGCUGUUCCCUCACCCUCCAUCUUGAGAACGUGUCGUUGGGGGUGACUACAGCGGUCCUCCAUCAUAAAAAGCAUGAAGACAGGCCAAAUAAUUCCCCCCAAAAAACCUAGGUCUCCCCCAACAACGUUUGAGACUAGCUCCCCUAAAUCUAAAAGAUGGCGCCGCUGCCCUACAAGCUCUGAUAAGCUCCUCCCACAGCUAAUCACCUACCUCAACAGAAGCCCUGCCCCCUCUGACCUUUGCACAGGGAGAGCAGUUAAUCAGCCACAAGAAACUCACACAAGAAAACCCUUUUUGUUCCUUCUUCAGCUGCUGCCCUACAAGCUCUGAUAAGCUCCUCCCACAGCUAAUCACCUACCUCAACAGAAGCCCUGCCCCCUCUGACCUUUGCACAGGGAGAGCAGCUAAUCAGCCACAAGAAACUCACACAAGAAAACCCUUUUUGUUCCUUCUUCAGCUGCUGCCCUACAAGCAGAAGUCAGUGGGUGCUUGCUGGAGAUGGCUAGGAGAAGCAGCAGCAGUUGCAAAUAAGUUAUGCAAUGAAGAAGAAGCUUAGGAUCUCCAUCUGGGACCAGAGAGAGGAAAGCUGACUGAAUUACAUAAACGACUGAACAUUAUUUGCAACGUGCUACUUUAUCGUGUUUAUCUUUUUGUAAGACUGUUUAAGACUGGUCUGCAGUAAAGCUUCGAAAAUUAUUCUUGUGAUGGAGAGAACUCAUUUCCACACAAGGUCCACAUCAGGAAUUCCACGGAACAACUUUAACGACAAGUACUUGAAGAACCAAACCACGAUGUAGCCAUGCUCUUUUCCAUCCCUUUCCAAGAAUUGCAACAAUCUGUUCCUCCAAAUGGUUCAGCCUCCACCACCUUUACUGCAGUCAACUGAAAGCAACCAACUGUGCCCUGGGGGCCCCAAUCUUUCCCACUGCCAAUAAAUACUAAUAAAUGAAUAGAAAGAGAACCUACCCAUCUCACAUUAAUACAAAAACCUUGCAUGUAGACUCUGUAAAAUAAUUAAAGUUUACUACCCCCUCCCCCCACUCUCUCUCCCUACCUCUCAACUCCCCAACCUUUAUACAUUAAAGUCUCUCUGUGUGAAUGUUGAUGAUAUCCAAAGUAAGAGAGCUGCUUACAGAUAGGAAGCUAUAUAGCUCUUCUAGGUGUUAGUUUCUUUUUGCAGACUCUACAAUGUCCAGGCUCUUUCUACUCAAAAGUACUUUACUUUCCUAAACACGUAACUGAGAAGAAUAUAUUUAUAAUCUGCUUAUUCAAACACAGGUACGCUCUCACUUGAAUUGUCUUACCGGUUCUUACGAAAGGUUUUUACUUUCACCUCAGCAGUAUUCUCUCUGUUCCUGCACAGGUUUCCCCUAUAAACAUUUAGUGAUCUUUCUCUGUUUCACUUUAGACAGAUCACUCUGACACCAGGGAUAUAGGAAGGGGGGGCUGUGUGGGUGGUCCGCCCUGGAUGUUAUCCCUGACCGGGGUGUGUGUGACAAAAUCGCCCCCAGGCGGAGCACUGCACUGCCCCCCUGGGUGCCAAUCUCUGUGCCAUAACUAAUUGGUAGUUGUUGCAAGAAUGACCUCACAUAUGCAUAUGCAGUUGCUAAUUGGCUGGCUUUGAUGCUGUGCUUAUCUCUGGGGCCAGGGAUGUUGGGCUCUGGGGCCAGACCUUGGAGCUACCUGUAAGCCUUGGAUAGUUGCCACCUGUGCCCUUGUGGGCCAGGUAGAUUGAUGGGACGUUCUGGCCAAGCUGACGAAGGCUGAUUUUUGAAUAGGUAAUAUGUAUACAUUUGCCUGGGUGUGGACAAGUCGUGACAAUUGCUUGCUACUGCGGUGUUUAUUCUCAGCAGGGCUCUGCACACUGAGUUGUCUGUUACCUCCGAGGAUGUGGACAGGCUGCUUGGACGAGUGAAACUUCCACAGGGCAGGCACUAGAAGACCCUCUGCCUGGUUCCCUGUAACCUCACUUCUCGCAGUGAGGGAACCGCCAGAAGGCCCUCAGAGCUAGAUCUCAGUGUCCGGGCUGAACGAUGGGGGUGGAGACGCUCUUUCAGGUAUACUGGACCGAGGCCGUUUAGGGCUUUAAAGGUCAGCACCAAAACUUUGAAUUGUGCUUGGAAAAGGUAGCACAAGAAGGAAAACUCUGGUCCCAAACCUCUGUUGCCUUGUGGGAUACCUUUGGUAGAAUAAAAGGCUAAGGAGUAAACCCUAAACAAAUCUGGAGUGGGGUCCCACUCAUACGACUCAUUCUGGCAACUCCUGCAGCCAAGCUGGUGCCAAACGUCUUGCUCUGCUUUCCUUUGGACCCCAUCAGCGAGGACGAGAAGGGAUGUGUGUCUUAUCCUCUGGGCAGCCCAGGACCUCCAAACACACUGCCUAGUCUUGUGCCCCACGGAGGUCACUUGGGCACUGCUAACACAGCCGUUUGGCUUUACCCCCGGAAGCGCACUCCAUUGUCUCUUGAGAAAGACAAAUGCCAACAGCAAUAUGUGCUCCAAAUUUCAAAUUGUUGUAACCCGCUCUGGGACCUGCUAGUAAAAGGCAGGUAAUAAAUAAAAUAAUGACGAUGAUCUUCUCUUGCACUGAGGCCAUGAUCCAGGGGCCUAAUCAUCCGAGUUAAGGCAAGUGAAAAAUGCGGGGAGGAACUUUCAUGGCAAAUAAGGCCAAAAGUGGCUAUGAAACAUGAUGGCCAUGUUCCCUCUCCACUGCGGGAGACAGCAGUGCUUCCGAAAACCAGGAAUUACUGGGAACCACAGGAGAGUGAUCCUGUGCCGAAGUCCUGCUUGUGAGCUUCCCACUAAAGAUGUCGUAUACUUAAUUCGGUGUCCCUGUAACUUCUUGUACGUUGGUUCCACCACUCGUGCGGUUGGAGUAAGGAUAGGGGAACAUGGUUCCCGCAUCCGAAAUGCUGUCUUGGAAGCUCCUCUGGUUGAGCAUUUUAUAUCGCAGAAUCAUUCUGAUAGGGAUUUAUUGUUCACAGUACUGUGGGUGAAUCAGAAAACCAUCAACAAAAGACAAGAUCAUGAAAAAUGGCUACGACAGAAAGAAUCUCAAUUCAUUUUUAGGUUUAAGACCAUUCACCCUGAAGGACUCAAUUCUGAACUGGAUUUAAAUUGUUUCAUUUGAUGCUUUUCUAUUGUUGUUAUAUCGCUUUGUACCUUUAAAUUUACUUACUGCAAUUCAUUCUCCCUGUAAUGAGCACCACCUGGGAAUGGUUACUUAUGCUUCAGGUGUCAUGUAACUGGUACCAGUGGUUACAUAUCCAUAUGACCACUGCUCCUUGUGCAAUUUUCUAAUCUAUGGGGUAUGUACCUUUGUUCUUCUUAUUGUAGUUGUAGCAUAUGGAUUGUAACGUGUGAAGUUUAUAUAGUAUUCAUGUACACAGGUCAUGGUUUCAUAUUUGAAUUCUUUUCUAGUUGUGCUGAAGAAGAUUCCAGCGAAACAGUCAGAUUAUCCGGGAUCACUGUCCGUUGUUAUUCACCUACUACUUUGGCACGCCUAAAAAAAGUUUUACCACUUAGCCCACAGGAUAGCAUAUAUUACUUUGUUUCAACCAUAGACUUAUUAUACUUCUGCGGACUUUCAAAGAUUGACAGACGUGUGUUCAAUUGAUUUCAAAUAUAUUAGAGAAUUGACAAGUGCACACAUUUUGUUUUUGUUAUUAAAUCAUGUAUAUAAUGCAAUAAGAAUUACAGUGCUAUCUAGUAUACUGGUCUGCGUGUUGCUUGUAUUGAUUGUAGUGUUAAGUUUUGCAACACAGGGGUUUGUUGUUCUGUAUAUGUGAGCUUCCCACAGGGAUCUAGUUUGCCUCUGUGAAAGCAGGAGGCUGGGCUGGAUAGGCCCUUGAUCUGAUCUAGCUGGGCUCUUCCUGUGUUUUUGUGUUAUGCUCUGUAUGCUAUGGCUCUGUGGUGUGUACACUGCAACCCCAUAGUCUCCUUUGACUGGACUUAACCGCCCAGGGGUCCUUUACCUUUACCUUACAUAGCC
rnacentral:lncRNA from 1 species